CCGGCGCGCAACACGAUGGUUGGGUUUGGAUUGUUGUACUUUUUUUUUUGUUCGUUGCAUUUUUAGGAACAAAAAAAAAAGCCCAACCCUUCACACCACUUCAUCCGCAUCUCUGAGGACC